rnacentral:tRNA from 1 species
GUGGCUGUGGUGAAGCGGUUAACACGGCGGAUUGUGGCUCCGUUACCCGAGGGUUCGAAUCCCUUCAGUCACC